AACGAACGCUGGCGGCAGGCUUAACACAUGCAAGUCGAGCGCCCCGCAAGGGGAGCGGCAGACGGGUGAGUAACGCGUGGGAAUCUACCCAUCUCUACGGAAUAACGCAUGGAAACGCGUGCUAAUACCGUAUACGUCCUUCGGGAGAAAGAUUUAUCGGAGAUGGAUGAGCCCGCGUAGGAUUAGCUAGUUGGUGGGGUAAAGGCCUACCAAGGCGACGAUCCAUAGCUGGUCUGAGAGGAUGAUCAGCCACACUGGGACUGAGACACGGCCCAGACUCCUAGGGGAGGCAGCAGUGGGGAAUAUUGGACAAUGGGCGCAAGCCUGAUCCAGCCAUGCCGCGUGGGUGAUGAAGGCCCUAGGGUUGUAAAGCUCUUUCACCGGUGAAGAUAAUGACGGUAACCGGAGAAGAAGCCCCGGCUAACUUCGUGCCAGCCGCCGCCGUAAAAC
rnacentral:rRNA from 1 species